UGAAAAGGGCCGGUAAUACGACAUCGUUCGGGUACGUCAAUAAUCGUAUGAAGGUUGUGAUUGAUCAAUAAAGGAUUCGUCACUCUUAGAUAGUAGGAGAUUAUGAUCUGCGUUUCAUUCAAUUAAGUCAAUAAUGAAAUCCUUGGCCAAGGUGUACUCAUAAGUCGAAAAGGAGUUUUCGAUUUAUAUUGACUUAAUAGUGGAG
rnacentral:lncRNA from 1 species